rnacentral:tRNA from 1 species
UUAGUUAAAACCAAAAAGAGGUAUGUUACUGUUAAUAACACCAUUGAGAUUAUCUCUAACUAAA